rnacentral:rRNA from 1 species
CUUCUGAUGGCGACCGGCGCACGGGUGCGUAACGCGUAUGCAACCUACCUGUAACAGGGGGAUAACACUGAGAAAUCGGUACUAAUACCGCAUAACACUAUGAGAGGCAUCUCUUGUGGUUGAAAGUUUCGGCGGUUACAGAUGGGCAUGCGUUGUAUUAGCUGGUUGGUAAGGUAACGGCUUACCAAGGCGACGAUACAUAGGGGGACUGAGAGGUUAACCCCCCACAUUGGUACUGAGACACGGACCAAACUCCUACGGGAGGCAGCAGUGAGGAAUAUUGGUCAAUGGACGGAAGUCUGAACCAGCCAUGCCGCGUGCAGGAAGACGGCUCUAUGAGUUGUAAACUGCUUUUGUACAAGGGUAAACCUGAAUACGUGUAUUCAGCUGAAAGUACUGUACGAAUAAGGAUCGGCUAACUCCGUGCCAGCAGCCGCGGUAAUACGGAGGAUCCAAGCGUUAUCCGGAUUUAUUGGGUUUAAAGGGUGCGUAGGCGGAUUGAUAAGUUAGAGGUGAAAUGUCCGAGCUUAACUCGGGAACUGCCUCUAAUACUGUUGAUCUAGAGAGUAGAUGCGGUAGGCGGAAUGUAUGGUGUAGCGGUGAAAUGCUUAGAGAUCAUACAGAACACCGAUUGCGAAGGCAGCUUACCAAUCUAUAUCUGACGUUGAGGCACGAAAGCGUGGGGAGCAAACAGGAUUAGAUACCCUGGUAGUC